UACGAAGGGGGCGAGCGUUGUUCGGAAUCACUGGGCGUAAAGGGCGCGUAGGCGGCCCUUCUUGUCGCGUGUGAAAGCCCCGGGCUCAACCUGGGAAUGGCGCGCGAGACGGGGGGGCUGGAGUUCGGGAGAGGAGCGUGGAAUUCCCAGUGUAGAGGUGAAAUUCGUAGAUAUUGGGAAGAACACCGGGUGGGCGAAAGGCGGCGCC
rnacentral:rRNA from 1 species